AACCAUGCAAGUCGAGCGGAUGAAGGGAGCUUGCUCCUGGAUUCAGCGGCGGACGGGUGAGUAAUGCCUAGGAAUCUGCCUGGUAGUGGGGGAUAACGUCCGGAAACGGGCGCUAAUACCGCAUACGUCCUGAGGGAGAAAGUGGGGGAUCUUCGGACCUCACGCUAUCAGAUGAGCCUAGGUCGGAUUAGCUAGUUGGUGGGGUAAAGGCCUACCAAGGCGACGAUCCGUAACUGGUCUGAGAGGAUGAUCAGUCACACUGGAACUGAGACACGGUCCAGACUCCUACGGGAGGCAGCAGUGGGGAAUAUUGGACAAUGGGCGAAAGCCUGAUCCAGCCAUGCCGCGUGUGUGAAGAAGGUCUUCGGAUUGUAAAGCACUUUAAGUUGGGAGGAAGGGCAGUAAGUUAAUACCUUGCUGUUUGACGUUACCAACAGAAUAAGCACCGGCUAACUUCGUGCCAGCAGCCGCGGUAAUACGAAGGGUGCAAGCGUUAAUCGGAAUUACUGGGCGUAAAGCGCGCGUAGGUGGUUCAGCAAGUUGGAUGUGAAAUCCCCGGGCUCAACCUGGGAACUGCAUCCAAAACUACUGAGCUAGAGUACGGUAGAGGGUGGUGGAAUUUCCUGUGUAGCGGUGAAAUGCGUAGAUAUAGGAAGGAACACCAGUGGCGAAGGCGACCACCUGGACUGAUACUGACACUGAGGUGCGAAAGCGUGGGGAGCAAACAGGA
rnacentral:rRNA from 1 species